rnacentral:rRNA from 1 species
CUUUACUGUAGCCUGGAAUUGGGUUCGGGCUUUGACUGCGCAGGAUAGGUGGGAGACUAUGAAGCAUUCCUUGUGGGGAAUGUGGAGUCAACGGUGAGAUACCACUCUGUCAAGGCUAGAAUUCUAACCGAUAGCCGUAAUCCGGCAUCGGAACAGUUUCAGGUGGGCAGUUUGACUGGGGCGGUCGCCUCCUAAACGAUAACGGAGGCGCACAAAGGUUCCCUCAGGCUGGUUGGAAAUCAGCCAAAGAGUGUAAAGGCAUAAGGGAGCUUGACUGUGAGAGUGACAACUCGAGCAGGGUGGAAACACGGUCUUAGUGAUCCGACGGCACUGAGUGGAAGGGCCGUCGCUCAACGGAUAAAAGUUA